AGUGAACGCUGGCGGUAGGCCUGACACAUGCAAGUCGAACGGCAGCACAGUAAGAGCUUGCUCUUACGGGUGGCGAGUGGCGGACGGGUGAGGAAUACAUCGGAAUCUACUUUUUCGUGGGGGAUCACGUAGGGAAACUUACGCUAAUACCGCAUACGACCUACGGGUGAAAGCAGGGGAUCUUCGGACCUUGCGCGAUUGGAUGAGCCGAUGUCGGAUUAGCUAGUUGGCGGGGUAAAGGCCCACCAAGGCGACGAUCCGUAGCUGGUCUGAGAGGAUGAUCAGCGACACUGGAACUGAGACACGGUCAAGACCACUACGGGAGGCAGCGGUGGGGAAUAUUGGCGAAUGGGCGCAAGCCUGAUCCAGCCAUACCGCGUGGGUGAAGAAGGCCUUCGGGUUGUAAAGGCCUUUUGUUGGGAAAGAAAAGCAGCAGGUUAAUACCCCGCUGUUCUGACGGUACCCAAAGAAUAAGCACCGGCUAACUUCGUG
rnacentral:rRNA from 1 species